rnacentral:rRNA from 2 species
AACUUUUAACGUGGAUCUCUGGCUCGUGCAUCGAUAAGAACCCACCCAGGUGCAAAAGUAGUGGGAAUGCAGAAUUAGUGAUCAUCGAUCUUUGACGCAAUGGCGCUCUUGGGUUUUCGCAGGAGCAUGGUCUGUCCNUGAGUGUCG